AUUGAGGAACAACUGACUUUGGAAAAACUGCAUGAGUGGACCAAACCUGAGAAUCUGGAUAUCAUGGAAGUCAAUGUCAGCUUGCCCAGGUUCAAACUGGAAGAGAGCUACACCCUCAACUCCGACCUAGCUCGCUUAGGUGUGCAGGAUCUCUUUAACAGUAGCAAGGCCGAUCUGUCUGGCAUGUCAGGAGCCAGAGAUAUUUUUAUAUCAAAAAUUGUCCAUAAAUCCUUUGUGGAAGUGAAUGAAGAGGGAACAGAGGCGGCGGCUGCCACGGCAGGCAUCGCCACCUACUGCAUGUUGAUGCCAGAGGAAAAUUUCAUAGCUGACCAUCCAUUCAUUUUCUUUAUUCAGGAUAUUUCCUCAAAGACCAUGUUGUUCUUGGGCAGAUUUUCUUCGCCAUAGACUGUGGCAAUACAAGAUCAAGCUUAGAGUGUUAUUACCUGAGUUUGUAAUGGUGCCGGUUUUCACAUAUCUUUACCAAUAGAACUACUAUCCAGAAAAAAA